rnacentral:lncRNA from 1 species
GGCUGGCCUCCCGGCUGGGGAGGAGGCGGAGGCGGUGACGCAGCCUGGGCCACCCGGUGGGGAGGGCCUCGAGCCUCGGAGCCUGUGCAGAUCCUGCCGCCUCAGGAGCCCCCUCGCGCCCUGUGGGACUGGGGUGGGGGGAGAGGCAGGCGAAAAGUUUGGGCCAGGUGACGACCCUCCCCCUCUCAAAUAAUAUUAAAAAAGGGAGAGGAAAUAGAAAUGGCGAGCCUCGGGCUGAGCCGUGGAGGGACAUGAGACACGGACCACAUAUGUUAAAAACACCACACGGCCAACCAGCCAGUCAGUCGAGGACGGAGCGAGCCCUGUAGGCUGAAUUUGCCUGUCCUGCUCUGGCUUGGUGGGUCUCCACUCGGCCUGGCUUGGCUUGGUGGUGCUCCCUGGGAGUGCCCGUGUUGAAAUCCAGUAUACAGAGCGGAUCAUGUCCCCGAGAGGUAUGAUGGCUGCUAUGACUGUGCUGAGGGCAACAGUGUGAUGGCAGCCAGGGGAAGUUAUCCUCUUGCCUGCUUCUGCCAAAUUCUAACUUAGGAUAUGCCUUAGGAUCACAAGGUACAUGUUUCCAAGUUUGGGUCAUAUGAUACGUUUAAAAGUUUUUAUCUGCAGGGAAGCAGGAAAGAGGGCAGCCUCCAAAGAGCUGCCAGUGUGGUGUGUCCCCAGUAUCAAUGGCAGAGCUAGAGGAAAUGCAUGUACACUACAUGUAUUCUGCAACUUCACAUGGCUGGAGCCUGAUGAAACAGUCAGCCAGGGCCAAUAAACAACAGUGGUCCAGCUCUUUAAUGCGUGUAUUUAAAGAGUUCAAAAGAGCAUGCACACAGCAAUGGAAACUCCCUGGCAUGUUCCGUUCUGCCGCCCUUUCUAUCACUGUAUUCACCAGGCCUUUAUCAUACCCAUUCUUUAAAAAUGGAAAUAAUGUUACCUCUCCCUUCCGAAUGUAACCACCACCCAGGUUACAGAUAACAUGGCCAGAUUCUAUGCGGCUAUAGUUCUCUGCUAUGUCACUAAUAUUCUGGGUCAUUUUUGUUGAUUAUUGAAAUUUUCAAGGUACAGCAUUGUAUAUUGUGUAUUAUCUUUGUUCUAUUUCAUUUGUUUUCUAUUUUCGUAUAUGCAGAAUACAUCAUACAAAAGGCCGGACUGGAGGAAUCCCAAAACGGAAUUAAGAUUGCCAGAUGAAAUAUCAACAACCUCUGAUAUACAGCUGAUACCACUCUGAUGGCAGAAAGUGAGGAGGAAUUAAAGAACCUCUUAAUGAAGGUGAAAGAGGACACAGCAUCCAUAAAAUGAAAAGCAUUGAGUAGCAUUAAGUCAUUUAUGUGUGUGUAUUUUCUUACUUAGUAUGUUUUAAAUUAGUUGUAAAUUAUUAAUAAUAAUAAACAAAUAAAUAAAUAUAUUGUCA